rnacentral:tRNA from 1 species
GUUACUGUAGCUUAUUAUUCAAAGCAUGGCACUGAAGCUGCCAAGAUGGGUAUUUAGUUCCCCCAGAAACA